ACUCCUACGGGAGGCAGCAGUCAGGAAUAUUGCGCAAUGAGCGAAAGCUUGACGCAGCGACACCGCGUGCGGGAUGAAGGCCCUCGGGUUGUAAACCGCUUUCGGCAGGGACGAAGCGAAAGUGACGGUACCUGCAGAAGAAGGUCCGGCUAACUACGUGCCAGCAGCCGCGGUAAGACGUAGGGACCGAGCGUUGUCCGGAUUUAUUGGGCGUAAAGCGCGCGCAGGCGGCCGUGCAAGUCGGAUGUGAAAACCAGAGGCUCAACCUCUGGCCUGCAUUCGAAACUGCACGGCUAGAGGCAGGUAGGGGAGAGGGGAAUUCCCGGUGUAGCGGUGAAAUGCGUAGAGAUC
rnacentral:rRNA from 1 species